rnacentral:rRNA from 1 species
GACGAAGGGGGCUAGCGUUGUUCGGAAUUACUGGGCGUAAAGCGCGUGUAGGCGGUUAUCCAAGUCGGGUGUGAAAGCCUUGAGCUCAACUCAAGAAAUGCACUCGAUACUGGGUGACUAGAGGACCGGAGAGGAUAGUGGAAUUCCCAGUGUAGUGGUGAAAUACGUAGAGAUUGGGAAGAACACCAGUGGCGAAGGCGGCUAUCUGGACGGUUUCUGACGCUAAGACGCGAAAGCGUGGGGAGCAAACAGG